GCUGCAUCCGGGUCCCAUCCCACAGGGACCCCCCGGCCGCUGCAGGUGCAUGCUGAUCCUGCAGCUCCUCAGGGGUGUCAUGGCUUUCCCCCUUCCCAGACCCAGCACACCCUGCCUGCGCAGCUCUGUGCUGCACCUUCACUCUAGUCACGGGUGUGGCAGUCAGCUCACCAAUUCCUCCUGCUUCCCUGGGACUCGCUGGCUUUUAGCACCGCAAGUCCCUCAGCAAACUGGGACUGUUGAUCACCCUACCCGGCAGCCAGUGAUAAGGUGAGGGCCGCUUCUGGGAGGGAGGACACCUGUGGGGAAAAUGCUUGUGUUAUUUAUUUCUCCUUCGGGAUAGGGUGCCUGCAAUGCUUCAUGGGAGGGGUGGGCUGAUGCUGCAAGCUCAGAAGUUUCAAGGGCAUCUAGGGAGACCAGAUAUUCAGAGACCUUCUCUUAGAUGUGCGUGUUCCAUGUAUCAGGGAUGCAGGUUUUCCCAGCAGGACUUGUGUCAUUGGCAUGACAGACCUGCCUUGGCUGAGCGUUCAACUGUCUUUGGAGUUCAGCCACCUUAGCAAGUCCUGGGUUUGUUCUUCAGACUUUGCUGCUUGCCCAUUGCUUGGAUCGGGGGCUACUUUGUAAACCACCAGGAAGACUCCAGUGUUUCUGCUUAAUUUUUAGAUGUUUGUUAAUUGCCCUUGGCCUCUCAUUAAUCCCGGUGGGUCCUUCAGGAAACAUACCGUUCCCUGAGUUUUCAUUUCCAGGCAUCUGCCCUGCCUGGAUCUCCUCGCCUUCCAGGAACUUCCUCUUCACAAGCCGCGGCCAUCCCAGCAAAAGUUCUAACAUCGAAGGUCUAGCAGCUAGCCUGCCAUCUUGUGCCUAGAGCCACCUGCGUGCCACCUACCCCCGAAGAUGGGAACCUCGUUGCCAGCUGGGGAGAUGCAGGGCAAUCCUGUACCAAGACCCCAUCUUACCACCUGUUUUCUCGGACCACUCUGGAACCCACUGUCUCAGAUUGGGUCCUCCAGGAAGCAGACUGUGAGAGCGAGUUGGCAGGACCAAAGGUUUACUGGGGCUAACUAACCCUCAGGAAAGGGACAGGAAGGAAGCAGGGCUGGAGAGCAGGUUGAGCCCGACCUGACAGUCUUGAGCAGCCCAGCAGGGAGGUGUGGAGCAAGGGUUGCCCAGUAGAGGGGCCUGCAUUGGGCAUGGGUGGUGGGGUCCACAUGGUACCUGGCACACAGCAGGCUGUGCAAUCCAUAUUAACUGCCUAGAUGAAUUAAUGCCCAGGAAAGGUGCCCUGGAGAACGGGUAUGUGCUGAGCACAAUAGGGAAGGGCCCAGCAUCUGCCUUGGCAUAGGCAGAACUGUGCUGUGCCCUGCAACAGGCCACCCGAGAGCUGCUUUCAUCUUGUGUGUGCGUUAGACAACUGCCAGGGGCAUGAAGGGGAUGUGCUUCCAGGGCAUUUGCUGGCAGGGUGUCUCGUGAUCUCUUGGUAUUGGUGUGAGCACAGCCUGGCAGGAGAGGGCAGAUCUCAGUGCAAAGUAUCAUGUCAAAAAGCAGAUCGAAGCCAGGCCCCCUCCUGGAAGAGGCUCCUUGAAGGUAGGUGCACACUCAUGUCUUUGUUACUUGUAAGGGGGCAUCUUACAGGCAAGAGGAGUUAGGUGAAUGUGAAGAGGAAGGAACUGCUCACUCUGGGCAAGGGGCUGGGGGAGGCUUCGUAGAGGAGCGGGUGUUUGAGCUGGGCCUUGAAGGUCGAAAGGGUUUUGUUAGGUGGGAAAUGGGGGAAGGACAGCCUGAAGGGGUUAGGUACCUUCAAGGAGCCCAGAGAAGGUUGGUGGCUGGAGCAGACCCAUUCGUAGAGUGAAGUCGUGGGAGAAGAGGCUGGGAAACUAGAUUGGGUCCAACUCCUAAAGGCCCACUGAAGGAGUAUGGGUUGCACGCUGGGUGCAGCAGGUGAGUGUCCUCACUUGGGUUUCACUGUCAGCAUUUUUAAAAGGCAAACUGGUUCUCUUCCUGAGGAAAAUUCACUGAUUCACUGAUGUGGCCAGUAAGUCAUCUGACAAACCUUUGUGUACUUCUGAUGGGAUAGGAGUGUUUGUAGACAACGGUCACACAAAUAUGCAGCCCAGUGCAGCUCAGGAGCAGCCUUCCAUGGAUAAGCCAUUGGUACCUACAGUGUGCUCCUGUCCUUGCUAAUCUGAACACAUGGGUAGUAACCUUAAGCGUGUCUCAAUCUUCUGACUUGUGAUGAGGUUUCCAAUUCUUGUUCCUGACUUUAGAAUGAAGUUUGGAGAGAUGUCAUUAAGUCUCUAGGUUCUGAGGAUUACUGUGGGGUGGGCAGAGGGAGAAAAGGGUGUUGGGGCCAGAUGUUCCUGUGCUUCUACCAGAAAGUUGAUUUGCCCAAUGUACCACCCUCACUUGGCAGGCCUGAGCAGAGUGGCCUGCCACUCACAACCCAGAGAAAGAAGGUACAGUGCGGGCUUGCCCUGGCGGGCGCUUGGAUGCCCUAAGCUGCAGCAUCCACGCCAGGUGGGAUUUGGUAGGGUAGGCCCCCCAUCCACUGUGUCUGAUCAUACUGCCUUUGAAAGAGGAGGGUGGAUGAUGAAGACAAGACGAUGAGAUAGGGUGGCCUCAGCAUGUUGCAGCACCCAACUGGAACGUUUGCAAAUGAUACUUGGAGAAAGCUUUAGGAAAGAGGCCCACUUCAUUUAUGAAAUGACACUAGAUAAUGUUUGACCUUAGUCACAUGUUCCUUGAUUCCUCAUUUUGCCCUCUGUUGGCUGACUCAUGCAGCUUCAGUUUUAAUUAAAGGUGGGCUGUGAUGAGAGUCAUGAUCAGUGAGUGGCUUCCAUAGCAGAAAGUUCUGUGUAGUUCUUGGGGGAUGUGAGUUUAAGUAUGAGGUGCUAAGACGAAUAUGUCCAUACAUUGUAUUCUAUUUCCUCUAUCCUUUCCCUCCUCUAACCAUUUCUGCCUUCUUCAUCUUUCUAACUUUCCCAAGGCAUUUUACAUCAGAUUUCAGAUAUAGAACAGUGGAUGUUAGAACAAACCCAAAUUCUUAAUGCUUGUUACCAUGAAAACAUGGCAACACCAUUCACAUUUUCUUUACAAAUGGCCUGUACGGGUCAGCCCAGGCAUUGACUUAGGAGCCCAUUGUUUGCAUCCUCUAGGUCCUUGUAGUUCAUAUGCUGGAGCAAUGUAUAGAGGCGCACAGAAGGGCUGAGAAUGUGGCCAUGAGAUAAUUCUAACAUCUUUGUCAUCAGUGUUGACAUCUCUUGAUUGUAUCCUGUCAUUCCAUUUGAGAUCAUCCUGGUUCUGGCUGGCAUCCUCUGACAUCACUCCAGCAGAAGAAAGGGAAGGAUCAUGCUGCAUUACUGCCUGGUGGAUUUGAGAAGACGUUGAAAUGCCUCCCCUGCUAAGACACGCUCCUCCUUGACAGAGUGGGAACCCUGAAAGCUGUAGUGUCACCACUGCCCUGUCCUGUACCUACCUAUCUUUUGACUCAUUUCCUCCAAGCUCAGGUUUUCAGUUUUGGGUGUGUGCCACCUAAAACUGAGCUGUGGAACUGCAGCACAAUCAUCAAAUUCAAAAAAGGCAAGGACAUCUGGCUCAGAUUUUAAGAUACACCAUAGAUGGAGUAAACUAAAACCUUUGAUUCCAGAUCCUUAACCCCGAUUAAAAACAACACAACCCUUCAUGCCUA